UCUGGUAAUGAUGGCAGAGAGGUCACACCCGUUCCCAUACCGAACACGGAAGUUAAGCUCUCUAGCGCCGAUGGUAGUUGGGACCUUGUCCCUGU
rnacentral:rRNA from 1 species